ACUGACCACGCAGACUGCUCAGCUGCUGCUCCCAGUGUCCAUCCAGGGCUCGAGUGUCACCUCAGUGCAACUCCCUGUAGGCAGCCUCAAACUCCAGGUGUGAAGUGUGUCUUCUAACUACUUUGCCUUACAGCAUGCAUGGAAUUCAAACCCUGCUAAGGAAGGCACCAUACCUGAGCUCUUUCAUAAAUGCAUCCAGAGCAGACCUCACAGAAAAAACGUAUGCAUGUGUAAGAGGGUUAUUCAGAAAUCUGAAUAUCUAGCACUGUUUUUAUAUAGUGAAAACAAACACAGGAUGCUUUUCUAGUCCUUUUACCUUUUCCCUUGAAUGAACACAGUAUCAUCCAUGCAGACAUUUUUUUACACACCAGUGACAUGACCAUAGUCUCUGCCGCUGAGCACUUUUUCUGGCAAGGCACAGCAUCUAGUACUUUAAAUGGCCGGCUUCACUUAAUCCUCCCUUCUCCUAGAAGAUCUAAAUGAUACCACCCAUCUCUGGAUAGGGGACGCUGAGGCCUAGGAGUACUCAGUGAGUUCCCCAAGGAUGGAGCUGGCAUUUAAACCCAGGUGUUCUGCCCACAGAGCCUUUAUUCUUAUGCCCAUUCUUAUAUUCUGCCUCCCACAUUUAGUUCUCGAAAGUCACUGCGUAUAUGAAGAUGUCUAAACUAAGGAAAACGUGACCACAAAUUUAGGAGUGAGGAUGUAAUUGAAAGAGAUGAGAAAACACUGAUGAGCAUGAAAUUCCCUUUUGUGUGCGUACAUAACCUAUGUAUUUACCGUGUCAUGCAGUUUUGGUAAGUUUUCACCAAACAUGGAGCACGAGUGAACAAGAAACAAUUUGAAGCAGUGCUUCUCAGCCUUGACACCGAAAUACCUGAAACAGGCGAGAGGAAUCAUCUCGUACCCCUGUGGUUAGGAGGCAGGGCCCGCAGACGCUUUGGCAUAUGCAAAAAUUCUAAUUCUUCUGUUUUGUCUUUAGGGUAUCUGUGAAAUUGAAAGUCUAUUCCAUAAUAAAUCCUCAAAUUUUUUGGUCCAAAUCUUUCAUUGCUGUAGUAGAAACGAGAACCGUGUUUUUAUCCUUGGGUCUGAGGGCGCCCUGGCCCAUUGCUGGCUCUCCCUAGGGAAUGCAUACACUGCUUGCAAGCGGCAAUUGGGACAGUUAGGUCUCACGAGUUUCCUUGUUGUUAUUCAAGUAUUACAGUACCUGAGCUAUUAUGUGUAGAACUGCCUUAGGUUCUUAUUAUUUCCAUUUCCAUUUUCUCAAAAUUUUCAAAUGAAAAAUCUUAGCUACUUAGGAAUAAUAAGAGCAUACAGUGACUGGUCUGAUGUUUCCCUCUCUGGUUUAGAAUCAUUAAAGUUCAGAUUUCUGUGCAGAUGAAGUGUGUAUCUGUAACCUUGGUCUUAUUUCAUUUAGCUACAGUCCCCAAGUGACCAAUGAUUCCACAUCUAAGUUCUGAUUUCUAGCUUUGAUUCUGACAAUUAAAUUGAUGUUUUUUUCAAUUCACCUCCUAGACUUCACCACAAGCAGGAAUGCAGACUCAGCCUCAGAUAGCAACUGCUGCACAAAUACCAACUGCUGCCUUGGCCUCAGGCUUGGCCCCAACUGUACCUCAGACACAAGACACGUUCCCACAGCAUGUGCUCAGUCAGCCUCAACAAGUCAGAAAGGUUUUCACAAACUCAGCAUCAUCAAAUACAGUUCUUCCAUAUCAGAGACAUCCUGCCCCAGCUGUCCAGCAGCCCUUUAUCAAUAAGGCCUCCAACAGUGUUCUUCAAUCCAGAAAUGCUCCGCUUGCAUCCCUGCAAAAUGGACCUAACACACCCAACAAGCCUAGUUCACCCCCGCCACCCCAGCAAUUUGUCGUCCAGCACUCUCUAUUUGGGAGCCCAGUCGCCAAGACAAAAGAUCCCCCCCGCUAUGAGGAGGCCAUCAAGCAGACACGCAGCACACAGGCCCCCCUGCCAGAGAUUUCCAACACACACAGUCAGCAGAUGGAUGACCUCUUUGAUAUCCUCAUUAAGAGUGGAGAGAUCUCCCUCCCCAUAAAAGAAGAACCUUCUCCUAUUUCCAAAAUGAGACCAGUGACAGCCAGCAUCACCACAAUGCCAGUGAAUACAGUGGUGUCCCGGCCACCACCCCAAGUCCAAAUGGCACCACCUGUAUCUUUAGAACCUAUGGGCAGUUUAUCUGCCAGCUUAGAGAACCAACUAGAAGCUUUCUUGGAUGGAACUUUACCCUCAGCCAAUGAAAUUGCUCCACUACAAAGCAGCAGUGAAGACAGAGAGCCCUUCUCUCUGAUCGAGGACCUCCAGAAUGAUCUGCUGAGUCACUCAGGUAUGCUGGACCAUUCACACUCACCCAUGGAGACUUCCGAGACCCAGUUUGCUGCAGGUACUCCCUGUCUGUCUCUUGACCUGUCAGACUCAAACUUGGACAACAUGGAGUGGUUGGACAUUACCAUGCCCAACUCCUCUUCAGGACUCACUCCUCUCAGCACCACUGCGCCGAGCAUGUUCUCCGCUGACUUUCUAGACCCACAGGACCUACCGCUACCAUGGGACUAACAUCACAGAUUUCUUUUCUGAGAGUUGAUGAGGUUUAAGAACAUGAAGAUUCUAAAAGGUCAGUUUUUAGAGAUAGAUCUAUAGUUGCAUUGUUGCAAUCAAAAUAUGUUGUCACAGAAAGAAUAGGUGGAAGGUCAUAGCCUGGAACCCAAGUUUGAAAACAUUUCAUUGUGUUCGGUAGUGAAUUUCUACAGUUUAACAUAGCACAGGGCCUUCUGAAAAUCACACUUGUCAAAGACGACUCAUCUAUUUCUCCAGACUUCAGUAAAGAAGUCUGUUUAGAUAAAAACAAAGAAGUCUGUUUGUUUAGAUAAAAACAAAGGAGUAAUAUAUGCAGCACAGUGACGUUAGGAUUCUGGUAAUUAACUACAUUUAAAUCUCUCUGGUCACUUUAAGACCCUAAUAAAAAGGCAGACAGCUCCACUCAAAAACUAAGGCUGAUGCGAGGGAGGUGAGAGGUCACUGCACUUGGUACUUCCUAGAGAUGGCCGGAGCCAGGCCCGAGACACAGCAGAGGUCAAAGGCAGUGGAGAGCCUUGGCCAGUUCAGUGACAGCUUCCGGCUGAAGACUUUUGGUUCUAUUCAGAAACCUGUGUCAUUUUUUUGGUGGUGUAGUUUAUUUUGUGAUUUUUGGAAUCGUACUUUAUAUUUCCAAAUUUAAAUUUAAAUGCAAGAUCUUUCAACAUAAACAGAAGAUACCUACAAAAUACUGUCAGAAGUCCAGGUAUACUGAUAACACUGAAAAUUCUAUUAGCAACCUUCUGGGUUGGUUAGAUUGAUUUUAAUGUAUAUAUUAGACAUUUGUAUGUGUGCUCUGACAUUGUGAUUUGUACAGCCUAUGUUGGGGUAAAGAAAUGGGUAUCCAAGGUCCUACUUUUUUAAUAGCUCGAAUAUUUCUAGACUACUUGAGCCACAUGUAUUUCUGUAUUUAAAGAAUUGCUGACUAACUUUCAGGUAACCACACCCAUCUCAAAGAACCAAGAAAAGGCUUUAGCAUGAAAUAUCUUUCUGAGCUGGUGAGUUAGAAGAAUGGAAGGUAAGGGGAAGGUCUGUCAUCUACCAGGACAUUCCCAUGAUGAGUACAGGUCAGACUGUGCCACGAGGUGGGCCUCCACGUCCCCUCCCUGGCCCUCUUUCUUCUGUCACUAACCCUGGUUAUCAUUUUACAGGCUUGUAACUGGAUAUUCUACCAGAGCUCUCACUAUAUUGUCAAGCCUAAGAUUGAAAAACUGGAGGCUUUAUUAGUGUUUUUAUAUAGAAAACAGUUAUUACAUAUUUGUUAAGUCAAGUCAUUUCUUAAGAAUUUUCUAAAAUGCCAACUAUCACAGGAUUAUUUCAAGCUAGUCAUUGAGGUAUAUGACAACAUGUAAAUAACAAAAAACUGAAAGAGCAUGGAGGUUUUUCUUAAAUAAUAAUAUUGUGCUCUCCACCUCACCCUUGUGUAAACCCUCAGGUCAGGUUGUUUCCCCUGGGUCACAAAAUGGUAAAUGUUCCAUACUGACAUGCCAGAGGCAGCCUGACCCGUUAUUUGGAAAGAAUUUGUGAAUUAUUUCUGGGUUUGUGUUUUGCCUAAGAGCUGAUCUUAUUUCUGAUUUGGGUGUGUGGUUUAUAAAUUUUACUACGUGUAACAAAAGUCUGCUUUUCCAGCAUGAGCACACUGGAGCCCUCUGCUCACUGGCACUUCCUGACUCCAAGGCACUAACAGUGCUCAUGUGCCUUCCAGACGGUUCAAGGCAGAGGCCACUGUGCUCAGUGUAGUCUGUGAUGAAUAGUUUAAGUGUUCAGAAAUUGGUAAACCAACGCAUGGGAUACAGUAACUCUCUGUUAACCAGAACACCAUCAUUUGACCAAGCCCUACAAGAGUUUACCACACUAGAUGUUCUGUGAAUCCUCGAGUCAGUUCCAUUGAGAGAGGCCUGUCUCCAGGGCCAGGCUAUUUACUUGAGAAAGUAUUUUUCUUACAGUUCUUGGCCACAGUUUUUUUGCUGAGGGUUUCUGUCUGGGCCUAUCAGGUCCAUACUUAGACCCUGAGCAUCUUCUUCAUUCAGAUUUGAAUGGCUUAUUAAAUUAGCACCAAAUAUCAGUGGGACUGUAGAAGGUAACCGAACACUAGUAGCAUUGACUCUCAUUGAAUAACUUUAUAUUUCCAUAAUCCUGAAUUGUGUAGAUAGUUUUCUAGCUCUCGGGUCCCUUUAUUGCAUUUUAAAAUAGGGUUUGAAACAUGCCACAGGAAGGUUGCUCUCCAAAAAUACACAGUGCAGUGCAAGAAAAUGCUAUCUCAUUAGCCUACUCUCCUAUGAAUUGCUAAAGUGCCCACUUCACAUAUGUGUUUAAACCUUUAUAAACCAGUAUUUCACUUUUAAAAAGACAAGGCAUCUCUACCCAUUAACUCUGCAAGCCACUCCACUUGCACCAUUCCGCUUGACCCUCCCCUCUCCUGGCUUGGGUCACCAGCCAGGCACCUGUGACACAAGUGCUGCUCUCCAGGAUCUCCACAUGUUCCAGGUUAGAGUGAGGACACGCUAUGUGCUCACAUUCAUGUGACAUGACCAAAGAUGAUACUCUGUAAACAAGGCCCCUCUGACCUGACUCAGUGCGUGUGAUGGUGAGUGCAAUGAGGAAGGGUGGAUGUUGACUAAAGACUGAUUGUUGUUGUUGUUUAGGUUAUUGUCACAGCCAUUACAGCACAAGUCAAAGUCGCCAGUUGAAUUUUCAUUAUGCACGUGUGUGGUUUAAGCAGUGGUACUGUUUUAUAUCAUAUUGCGAAGUAUCAUACUGCCAAGAAGAUAACUCCUAGAAAGGCAUUAUCUCACAUCCCCAUCUUACUUUCCUACAUGUUCUCAAAACACAGUAGUAUCAGCCUUACCUUUCUGCUGUAUAGAGAUAAUGAGAUCAUCCUACUGGGGGUGGGAUGAAUUUUAAAAGUUAUACCAAAAUUUCUGUAAAGUCUUUGAAAGUCUAGGAGUAUGUGGUCAUCUUGUACAUUUCAGCAAAGCAUCCACUAGGAAACCUCAUAGGACGGUGUUAGUGGUUCACGUUCUAGUGUUUUUCCUGAAAUGUGCAAUCUACUGUAUAGUAUUGCCACAUAAUUGUACAUAGAUGUAUUCUGAAUUUGUGGAAUUUCUUGCUUAGAUACUAUUGUGUUUGUUUCAUAUGAAUAUUUUUGUAAUUCUAAAAGAGAUCUUAUUUAAAUUUCCUUUUUAAAAGCCGCAUGGUUCUGUGAUCCAUGUAACUGACACUUUUUGGCUUUCAGUGCUGUUUAGAAACAGUGGCAAAGGCAGGGUGGUGUUGCCUGCAAGCUGCUGCCUAUGGAAGGCAAAGUCAUAGUAAUGAGAUAGCACCUCUGAACUGUGCAGUCAGCAUACCCUGAGUGAUCGCUCAGGGGCGCACUACCUAUUUUGUCACCAGAGCUGACUCAGGCUUCCUGGACCCUCAGCCCCAGAUCAUUCCAGGCAGCAUAGCUUUCUUCAGAGUCCUUUCAGAAUUCCCAGGCUGAAAUCAGCCACAGCAGUUGACAAAAUAGCUGUCCCCACAAGUGAUGGGAUAGUCCCUUUACUGUCCUCAAAUGGACUUGGCCUUAGAGACGUGGUAAAGCACUUUGGCAGGAUUUAAAAUAUUUGUGAGAAGCCCACAUUUCAGUAUACAUCCUCACCGGCCUCCAUGCACCCACCUGCCGGUAGCCUCACAGAAGUCCUGGCUGUCACUCAGGUGGGGAGCUCAUGGUGCCGCUGGGGACUUUUUAGAGAAAUGUAAAGAGAAUAGCUAUUCAGUGUCUACCAGCAGAGCAACACGUGUCAAUUUAACCAAAUUCACAAAUAACUCCAUUUUUCAAUAUCUGCUACUGUAAACAUGAAUAUUGAAUACUGACAAGAGAAUACCCAUACAAAUCGUCCCACCGCCCUAGAGGCCACAAAAUUAGCCCAAAAUUAUCAAAGAACGUUAACUGGAAGGUCAGGUUUUUCAAGGAACAUAGCUUACAAGUGCAUCAGUGUGUAUCUGGAGAGCAUCCUAACUGCAUUUCAAUUCAUCUUUUAAGUGAUUUCAGUCAAAACUGGAAAACAACUAAGAUGUAGUAAUUUUUUUUUCCUGGUUCAAACCUUCAAUAACUUGCUCAUUCAGCAGUCUCUCUGAGCUACAUUUUUAUUUGUAAAGUGACUCUGUCUGCAUGGCAAUAAGCAGGUGCGUGUUUUUUCCACAUUCGCCCUUUCUUGCAAUAUCCAAGGAAACACAUCAUUACAAAGGGUUUCUACCUGAAAUCUUUCAUGGAAGGCCUACAAUUCAAAAAGCUGCACAUGUUUACAGAAGAGCUCUUACCCUCCAUGCAAACACUUUGCUCUGUGAUGUCACAGCUUUGUGACAAUAAGAUGGCAAUCUCGGAUCUACAAGGUGCUGUCGGGAAUCAAAUAAAAUAUGUUAUCAGAGAUAUCAUCACAUCUAUAGUGUUUAACAGAGCUUUAUGCCAGCUACUAAGACAAAGCUUUAACAAAGUUUAUAGAAUACUGAAACUCGUAACAAUUACCUCUCUACAUGAUGCUGUAAGGAAUCUUGCUAAUUUGGUAGGAAGAGGAAGCAUUUAGGAAAGGGUUUAGUAUCUACCAAAAGUACUUGACCUCAAGUAACCAAUAGUAAUGCAAACUUGCUUUAAAGGAACCAAAGGCAUUGCCAAGUAUUUGCCAAAAGGAGGCACUUUUUAUUUAAAAUUUGAGACUAAUGAGAUCUCAAAAAUCAGUCCCAAAAAGAUAUUAUCCAUUUAAGGUUAUAAUUUUCACAAAGAUGUAGAUAUUUCUCUUAUUGUUUUCAUGUGAAAUAGUAUAGAGUUGUUUUGUUGGUUUAAGAAUAACAUUCAGUAGUAAUACAAAGUUUUUUUUCUAUGUAGAAAUUAGUUUUCUUCUUUUCUUGCUUGCAAUAGAAAUGCAAUGUGAUAGGUGUUUCUCUUCUUAUUUUCAUUGUCACAUUAUGUCUUAGCAUCUCACUUUAUGAAAAAAAGGAGAAAGAUACCAAUCUACAGAGCCCUGCUUGUUGAAGCACUAGUUUAAUCAACAAAAAAUUAUGGCAAUCGGGGGUCCAUUCAUGUAUUGCCUUUAUGUUGUUUUUUAAAAGAAAAACCAUGAUGCCUUUGUAUUUGCUGUUUGCACCCCUGAAAUCAAUUCCAUAUCAUGUUUGAAUGCCAUACAUUUUGCACAUGUACUGUACAUAGGUAAUGCAUACUGUAUUUUUAUAUGUGUGCACAUUUAUCAUCAGAUCUUUUGUACAUAGUGGCAGUAUUGUAGCUGAUCGGGAAAUGUUUGAUAUCUCAGCAAUUUUGCAUUUUUGUGUCUCAAAUAAAAGACAUUUUGAUGUA
rnacentral:sRNA from 1 species